rnacentral:tRNA from 1 species
GGAGAAGUGGCAGAGCGGUUGAAUGCACCGGUCUUGAAAACCGGCAGGGGCGCGAGUCCCUCGAGGGUUCGAAUCCCUCCUUCUCCGCCA